GAUGAACGCUGGCGGCGUGCCUAAUACAUGCAAGUCGAGCGAACAGACGAGGAGCUUGCUCCUCUGACGUUAGCGGCGGACGGGUGAGUAACACGUGGAUAACCUACCUAUAAGACUGGGAUAACUUCGGGAAACCGGAGCUAAUACCGGAUAAUAUAUUGAACCGCAUGGUUCAAUAGUGAAAGACGGUUUUGCUGUCACUUAUAGAUGGAUCCGCGCCGCAUUAGCUAGUUGGUAAGGUAACGGCUUACCAAGGCAACGAUGCGUAGCCGACCUGAGAGGGUGAUCGGCCACACUGGAACUGAGACACGGUCCAGACUCCUACGGGAGGCAGCAGUAGGGAAUCUUCCGCAAUGGGCGAAAGCCUGACGGAGCAACGCCGCGUGAGUGAUGAAGGUCUUCGGAUCGUAAAACUCUGUUAUUAGGGAAGAACAAAUGUGUAAGUAACUAUGCACGUCUUGACGGUACCUAAUCAGAAAGCCACGGCUAACUACGUGCCAGCAGCCGCGGUAAUACGUAGGUGGCAAGCGUUAUCCGGAAUUAUUGGGCGUAAAGCGCGCGUAGGCGGUUUUUUAAGUCUGAUGUGAAAGCCCACGGCUCAACCGUGGAGGGUCAUUGGAAACUGGAAAACUUGAGUGCAGAAGAGGAAAGUGGAAUUCCAUGUGUAGCGGUGAAAUGCGCAGAGAUAUGGAGGAACACCAGUGGCGAAGGCGACUUUCUGGUCUGUAACUGACGCUGAUGUGCGAAAGCGUGGGGAUCAAACAGGAUUAGAUACCCUGGUAGUCCACGCCGUAAACGAUGAGUGCUAAGUGUUAGGGGGUUUCCGCCCCUUAGUGCUGCAGCUAACGCAUUAAGCACUCCGCCUGGGGAGUACGACCGCAAGGUUGAAACUCAAAGGAAUUGACGGGGACCCGCACAAGCGGUG
rnacentral:rRNA from 1 species